rnacentral:rRNA from 1 species
GACGAACGCUGGCGGCGUGCUUAACACAUGCAAGUCGAACGGUGAAGCAGAGCUUUCUCUGUGUAUCAGUGUCGAACGGGUGAGUAUCACGUGAGUAUCCUGCCCUUUACUCUGUGGUAAGCCUUGGAAACGACGUCUAAUACCGGAUACCAGCUGAGACCGCGUGGUGUUCGGUUUGAAAAAUUUCGUGGUCAAGGAUGGACUCGCGGCCUAUCAGCUUGUUGGUGAGGUAAUGGCUCACCAAGGCGACGACGGGUAGCCGGCCUGAGAGGGUGACCGGCCACACUGGGACUGAGACACGGCCCAGACUCCUACGGGAGGCAGCAGUGGGGAAUAUUGCACAAUGGGCGCAAGCCUGAUGCAGCAACGCCGCGUGAGGGAUGACGGCCUUCGGGUUGUAAACCUCUUUUAGUAGGGAAGAAGCGAGAGUGACGGUACCUGCAGAAAAAGCACCGGCUAACUACGUG